GGAAUGCCUGCUCGGCCUUGCGGAUCAGCCAAGUCUUGAAAAAGCGCUGGGGGUGUUUGAACCGGCCAUCCGCCAGGAGUUCACCGAUGCGAUGCUAAGACGGCUCGGCGUCCAGCCGCGCGAUGCCGUGAGCGACAAUGAACUGGUGCGCGCACUCUGGAUAUUCCUGUCGGAGACGAAAGCCCCAUUCGAGCAGACCUUCUUCGACUGGUUUGGCGGCCUCAAGAGCGCCGAGCGCGCGGCGAAUAGCCCGUCGAAGGAUCACUAUGUAAACACGGCGUUCGCUGCCGUCCGCGACGCAUUGAAAGACUUCGUUCCGCGCGAGGG
rnacentral:misc_RNA from 1 species